rnacentral:rRNA from 1 species
UUAAGUUAUUAAGGGCGCACGGUGGAUGCCUUGGCACUAGAAGCCGAUGAAGGACGUUACUAACGACGAUAUGCUUUGGGGAGCUGUAAGUAAGCUUUGAUCCAGAGAUUUCCGAAUGGGGAAACCCAGCAUGAGUUAUGUCAUGUUAUCGAUAUGUGAAUACAUAGCAUAUCAGAAGGCACACCCGGAGAACUGAAACAUCUUAGUACCCGGAGGAAGAGAAAGAAAAUUCGAUUCCCUUAGUAGCGGCGAGCGAAACGGGAAGAGCCCAAACCAACAAGCUUGCUUGUUGGGGUUGUAGGACACUCUAUACGGAGUUACAAAGGACGACAUUAGACGAAUCAUCUGGAAAGAUGAAUCAAAGAAGGUAAUAAUCCUGUAGUCGAAAAUGUUGUCUCUCUUGAGUGGAUCCUGAGUACGACGGAGCACGUGAAAUUCCGUCGGAAUCUGGGAGGACCAUCUCCUAAGGCUAAAUACUCUCUAGUGACCGAUAGUGAACCAGUACCGUGAGGGAAAGGUGAAAAGCACCCCGGAAGGGGAGUGAAAUAGAACCUGAAACCGUGUGCUUACAAGUAGUCAGAGCCCGUUAAUGGGUGAUGGCGUGCCUUUUGUAGAAUGAACCGGCGAGUUACGAUUUGAUGCAAGGUUAAGCAGUAAAUGUGGAGCCGUAGCGAAAGCGAGUCUGAAUAGGGCGUUUAGUAUUUGGUCGUAGACCCGAAACCAGGUGAUCUACCCUUGGUCAGGUUGAAGUUCAGGUAACACUGAAUGGAGGACCGAACCGACUUACGUUGAAAAGUGAGCGGAUGAACUGAGGGUAGCGGAGAAAUUCCAAUCGAACCUGGAGAUAGCUGGUUCUCUCCGAAAUAGCUUUAGGGCUAGCCUCAAGUGAUGAUUAUUGGAGGUAGAGCACUGUUUGGACGAGGGGCCCCUCUCGGGUUACCGAAUUCAGACAAACUCCGAAUGCCAAUUAAUUUAACUUGGGAGUCAGAACAUGGGUGAUAAGGUCCGUGUUCGAAAGGGAAACAGCCCAGACCACCAGCUAAGGUCCCAAAAUAUAUGUUAAGUGGAAAAGGAUGUGGCGUUGCCCAGACAACUAGGAUGUUGGCUUAGAAGCAGCCAUCAUUUAAAGAGUGCGUAAUAGCUCACUAGUCGAGUGACACUGCGCCGAAAAUGUACCGGGGCUAAACAUAUUACCGAAGCUGUGGAUUGUCCUUUGGACAAUGGUAGGAGAGCGUUCUAAGGGCGUUGAAGCAUGAUCGUAAGGACAUGUGGAGCGCUUAGAAGUGAGAAUGCCGGUGUGAGUAGCGAAAGACGGGUGAGAAUCCCGUCCACCGAUUGACUAAGGUUUCCAGAGGAAGGCUCGUCCGCUCUGGGUUAGUCGGGUCCUAAGCUGAGGCCGACAGGCGUAGGCGAUGGAUAACAGGUUGAUAUUCCUGUACCACCUAUAAUCGUUUUAAUCGAUGGGGGGACGCAGUAGGAUAGGCGAAGCGUGCGAUUGGAUUGCACGUCUAAGUAGUAAGGCUGAGUAUUAGGCAAAUCCGGUACUCAUUAAGGCUGAGCUGUGAUGGGGAGAAGACAUUGUGUCUUCGAGUCGUUGAUUUCACACUGCCGAGAAAAGCCUCUAGAUAGAAAAUAGGUGCCCGUACCGCAAACCGACACAGGUAGUCAAGAUGAGAAUUCUAAGGUGAGCGAGCGAACUCUCGUUAAGGAACUCGGCAAAAUGACCCCGUAACUUCGGGAGAAGGGGUGCUCUUUAGGGUUAACGCCCAGAAGAGCCGCAGUGAAUAGGCCCAAGCGACUGUUUAUCAAAAACACAGGUCUCUGCUAAACCGUAAGGUGAUGUAUAGGGGCUGACGCCUGCCCGGUGCUGGAAGGUUAAGAGGAGUGGUUAGCUUCUGCGAAGCUACGAAUCGAAGCCCCAGUAAACGGCGGCCGUAACUAUAACGGUCCUAAGGUAGCGAAAUUCCUUGUCGGGUAAGUUCCGACCCGCACGAAAGGCGUAACGAUUUGGGCACUGUCUCAACGAGAGACUCGGUGAAAUCAUAGUACCUGUGAAGAUGCAGGUUACCCGCGACAGGACGGAAAGACCCCGUGGAGCUUUACUGUAGCCUGAUAUUGAAAUUCGGCACAGCUUGUACAGGAUAGGUAGGAGCCUUUGAAACGUGAGCGCUAGCUUACGUGGAGGCGCUGGUGGGAUACUACCCUAGCUGUGUUGGCUUUCUAACCCGCACCACUUAUCGUGGUGGGAGACAGUGUCAGGCGGGCAGUUUGACUGGGGCGGUCGCCUCCUAAAAGGUAACGGAGGCGCUCAAAGGUUCCCUCAGAAUGGUUGGAAAUCAUUCAUAGAGUGUAAAGGCAUAAGGGAGCUUGACUGCGAGACCUACAAGUCGAGCAGGGUCGAAAGACGGACUUAGUGAUCCGGUGGUUCCGCAUGGAAGGGCCAUCGCUCAACGGAUAAAAGCUACCCCGGGGAUAACAGGCUUAUCUCCCCCAAGAGUUCACAUCGACGGGGAGGUUUGGCACCUCGAUGUCGGCUCAUCGCAUCCUGGGGCUGUAGUCGGUCCCAAGGGUUGGGCUGUUCGCCCAUUAAAGCGGUACGCGAGCUGGGUUCAGAACGUCGUGAGACAGUUCGGUCCCUAUCCGUCGUGGGCGUAGGAAAUUUGAGAGGAGCUGUCCUUAGUACGAGAGGACCGGGAUGGACAUACCUCUGGUGUACCAGUUGUCGUGCCAACGGCAUAGCUGGGUAGCUAUGUGUGGACGGGAUAAGUGCUGAAAGCAUCUAAGCAUGAAGCCCCCCUCAAGAUGAGAUUUCCCAACUUCGGUUAUAAGAUCCCUCAAAGAUGAUGAGGUUAAUAGGUUCGAGGUGGAAGCAUGGUGACAUGUGGAGCUGACGAAUACUAAUCGAUCGAAGACUUAAUCAA